rnacentral:sRNA from 1 species
GAGAAGGAAAGAGAGAUUCUGAUAAGAUAGUUAGUCAAAGAGGUUUACCGAAGAAAAAAUAGAGAGACAAAAA